AUGCUCUGCCUCCGCCUCCGCCUCCGAUGUCGCGCCCUCUCCCAGCUCCUCUCAUCGUCCCCCUCCGCCUCUCCCAUCUCCCACCUCCUCGGCUACCACAGCCGCCUCCUCUCAGCGGCCGCGCCCGUCGUCUCCCCGAACCCUAGCUUCGCCGUCGAGGAGUACCUCGUCUCCACCUGCGGCCUCGCCCGAGCGCAGGCCUUCAAGGCCUCCGUCAAGCUCUCCCACCUCAAGUCCCCCUCCAACCCCGACGCCGUCCUCGCCUUCCUCGCCGGCCUCGGCCUCUCCGGCGCCGAUGUGGCCGCCCUGGUCGCCAGGAACCCCCAGGUGCUCUGCGCCGGCGUGGAGAGGACCCUGGCCCCCAACGUCGCCGCGCUCACCGGCCUCGGCCUCUCGCGCUCCGACAUCGCGCGCCUCGUCUCGGUUGCCGGCAACCACUUCUGCUGUAGAUCCAUCGUCGCCAAUAUACAGUACUGCCUGUGCCUGCUCGGGUCCUACGAGAAUCUCCUCUCUGCUAUCAAGCGCAAUUUCUACAUUCUCUCGUCCGACCUUGAGAGAGUGAUCAAGCCCAAUGUCGCAGUCCUGCGAGAGUUUGGGCUUGGUCCUUGUGAUAUUGCCAAGCUGUGUGCCUCUCAGCCAUGGUUGCUCACCUGCAACGUAGAGCGUAUCCGGGCGAUGGCGGUGAGCGUCCAAGGUCUGGGUGUGCCCCGUGGAUCUGGGAUGUUUAGGCAUGCGCUGGAUGCUGUUGCAUUCGUCAGCAAGGAGAAAAUCGCCGCCAAAGUGGAGCACCUGAAGAAAACAUUCAGGUGGUCGGAUGCUGAGGUGGGCAUUGCUGUUUGUAAGGCUCCACAGGUACUGCACAGGUCCAAGGAAUCGCUGCAGAGAAGGUCAGAGUUCCUCAUCUCCGAUUUGGGGUUGGAACCCGCAUACAUUGCUCGUCGCUCGGUGAUGCUCUUGUACAGCCUGGAGGGCCGGCUAAGGCCCCGGAGCUACGUCGUUAAGUUUCUUAAGGCAAAUGGAUUGCUAGAUCCCGACCGGGACUUGUAUACCGCAGUCACACUGAGUGAGAAGGUAUUCAUGGAGAAGUUCAUAUGCCCUCACAAGGAAGCUGCACCCCACCUUGCUGAAGAUUAUGCAGCAGCUUGCAGAGGGGAAUUGAUGGCUAAUUUCAGAUUUACAUGA
rnacentral:rRNA from 1 species